rnacentral:rRNA from 1 species
CGGAAGUUAAGCAUCGCAGCGGCGACGAUAGUCGGAAACGGCAAAAACAGCACGCUGCCAGUC